rnacentral:SRP_RNA from 11 species
CUGCGCGGGGCCGUUGAGUUGCUGAAGGGCACUGCUGAGGAGCUCCAGGCUGAGCUUGAGGCUUCCCGGUCCGCGGCGUCAACCCAGCAGCAGGCGAUCACCCAACUCAGCAACGCUUUGCAGCGCAAGGAUGGGGCUCUGGAGGCUGUCAGACAAGAGCUGGAGGAAAUGCGUGAGGCUUUGCGUUCACUUGCUGCGGUGCGGUCCCCUCCAACUUCCAAUAGCGGAGGGCAGCUUGUUGUUUCUGAUUCCUCAAAGACCC